rnacentral:rRNA from 1 species
GAUGAACGCUAGCUGCAUGCCUAAUACAUGCAAGUCGAGCGAAAACAUGAGGAGCUUUCGCCUCUCAUGUUAGCGGCGGACGGGUGAGUAACUCAUGCAUAACCAACCUAUUCGUCUCGGCUAACUUCCCGGAACCAAAGCUAAUACCGGCUAUUAUAUUUAACCUCCUGGUACAAUAGUGAAAGUCGGUUUUGCUGUUACUUAUAGAUGGAUCCGCGACGUAUUAUUUAGUUCGUAAGGUAACGGCGUACCAAGGCAACGAUGCCUAGCCGACCUGAGAAGGUGAUCAGCCACACGAGAACUGCGACACGGGCCAGACACCUAAGAGAGGCAGCAGUAGGGAAUCGUCCGCAAUGGGCGAAAGCCUGACGGAGCGACGCCGCGUGAGUGAUGAAAGUCUUCGGAUCGUAAAAAUCGGUUAUUAGGGAAGAACAAAUGUGUAAGUAACUAGGCACGUCUUGACGGUACCUAAUCAGAAAGCCACGGCUAACUACGUG